rnacentral:rRNA from 1 species
UCUGCCAGAGCCACAUCACCCUGCAGCUCUCGCCUAGUGUAACACUGAAGCUAAGCAGGGUUGAGCCUGGCCCGUACCUGGAUGGGAGACCUCCUGGGGAAAACCAAGGUUGUUGCCGGAA